GUCACAGAAGCAGUGAUGACGUAACAGAAGAGCCUGCUUCAACAUGGUAUGUGACGUCACAGAGGAAUCGACAUCGCUGAAGAAUUCAUCGUUGUGCAGAAGACAAGACAAAAAAAGACGAGAAAAAAAGCGCAAGACGAAGAACAAAGACGAAGACGCCAAUAUAAGGAUGCCGGUUUGAGGUGUUUGUAGGCUUAAGCGUGUAUAGGCCUAUAUAGGUGUGUAUAGGCCUAUAUAGGUGUGUAUAGGCCUACUAUAGGUGUGUAUAGGCCGAUUAUAGGUGUGUAUAGGCCUACUAUAAGUGUGUAUAGGCUUAAUUAGGUGUGUAUGCCCGAAGAAAGAAGAUCAAAGACGCCGAUAAAGGAUGUCGGUUUCAGGUGGUUUAGGUUUAGUCUUAAAGUAUGAGUGUGUUUGUUUAUGUGUGUGUCAGCUAGUGCACUCUUACAGUGUUGCCAGCUUUUGUUUUUGCUGGGCCUAAUGUUGCCAGCUAUGUCCCCAAGCACUUCUCAGUGCUUCUACAUGUCUUUGAAACAAAUGCAAAGGAAUUGUUGCAACAAUCUUACUUGAUAAAGAUUAGCAUCUACUGUAAUGUUCAUUCCUUCCGAGUGUUUUGUCUGUCGGGACUUGAAUCUUACAGCGGUUUUGUAGUGUCUCGGUUUGCUUUGCGAGAACGCUGUCCCAGUAUACAUAUACUCGAGUAAUAUCAAUAUUUAAAUUCCUUUAAUUCUUUAAUAAAUUAAAUUAGUAUAAAGUCCCCAACACACCGCUAAAGUUAAAUUAUUUAACACAACAUCGCGUUUGGCAUAAUUGUUACGAUGGCCACGUCACAAUUACGCUUUACGUCGAUGCGGUGGGUCAGCUACGUCAUGACCCUGCGUUCGGUGCGGUUACGACACGGUCGGCUUAGUUACGUUACAGUUGCGGGUUUGUUACGUGGACGUCGCCGCUUUGCGGUUCGUAACAGCCACAGUAUGUCGUAACGGUCGGUGCGGUGCGUAACAGCCGGACGAUAUUAUAUUGUGCGAAGAUACGACGAGAGUAUCGCGGUACCAAGAUGUUUUCUCAAUAAGCGGUCGGGUGAUGCAGGGCCGUUGUUUGCUUUAGACUUCUUGCAGGUGGGCACUUGGUGGCGUGCGCACUGCAGGGCUUUUCUGUGAGACUUGCAACUUUUCGUUUGACGGUGAAUGCUUGUUGGUGUGACUGUUUUUGUCUAUGGGUUUCUUUUCCUUGCUUGGGUAGGGUCUAUCCAGCAAAGGGUUUCUCACCAGAGUAGAAACCCACUACCAUUGGCUGGGGGCUUGUCGUGCCGUAGUGGCUUUCCACCAACGCCAGCCACAUAAACUAUGAAGGUAUUUUAAUCCUGUUUUUAUUUUCCAGAAUUUCAGUUUCAGAUAUUUUCAUCCGCACGUGGGCGCUAGCGAUUGUUGGAAUUACAGUUCGCAUUGUUUGUAAUUGUUAUAAUUACGCCGCCACGCCGAAGUCCAACUGCGUCGAACUGACAAUACGCUGUGUGACGUCAUAAUGAAACAAGUGCAUGAGGUGUUAGUAAGUUUGAAUAUGAACUGGGGAUCAGCAAUGGCGGUUGGACCAUCCAGUGUGGGACAUCCAUUCGUGGGAUCAGGAAUGGCGGCCUCACUCACCCCUUCAAGAUCAGGGCACGGUGGGGUG